rnacentral:rRNA from 1 species
CAGCCGCCGCGGGAACACGUAGGGCGCAAGCGUUGUCCGGAAUUAUUGGGCGUAAAGAGCUCGUAGGCGGUCUGUCGCGUCUGGUGUGAAAUCCCGAGGCUCAACCUCGGGCUUGCAUCGGGUACGGGCAGACUAGAGUGCGGUAGGGGAGACUGGAAUUCCUGGUGUAGCGGUGGAAUGCGCAGAUAUCAGGAGGAACACCGAUGGCGAAGGCAGGUCUCUGGGCCGCAACUGACGCUGAGGAGCGAAAGCAUGGGGAGCGAACAGGAUUAGAUACCCCGGUAGUCCCUGUCUCUUAUAC